CAUUUGCAUGGAUAGGCCCUCCCUCUCAGAGAAGAAGAAGAGGGGAAGAGAGAGAUGAGAGGAGGCUCUGUUCAGCUGUGGGACCACUGAAGGCAGAGUCAGUGAUGACCUCCACCAUGGCCUGGUCCCCUCUCCUCCUCACCCUCCUCGCUCAUUGCACAGUGUCCUGGGCCCAGGCUGUGCUGACUCAGCCACCCUCUGUGUCUGCAGCCCUGGGGCAGAGGGUCACCAUCUCCUGCACUGGAAGUAACACCAACAUCGGCAGUGGUUAUGAUGUACAAUGGUACCAGCAGCUCCCAGGAAAGUCCCCUAAAACUAUCAUUUAUGGUAAUAGCAAUCGACCCUCGGGGGUCCCGGUUCGAUUCUCUGGCUCCAAGUCAGGCAGCACAGCCACCCUGACCAUCACUGGGAUCCAGGCUGAGGAUGAGGCUGAUUAUUACUGCCAGUCCUAUGAUGACAACCUCGAUGGUCACACAGUGCUCUGGGCCUGGGAGGAAGUGAGACAAAAACCUGCUUUUCCCCCAGAAAUGAGUUUUGCUUUGUAGUACCCACUGUUUGGC